UAAACACCUGAGAUUUAACUCCUCUAACUUGAACUCUACUUCCUCUAACAAUACCUUCUCUAAAGCUAGCUAUAAUUUUAACUCACACUACUUUACCUCAGACCCUAACAACAAAUCUCUUACUUCUUUAAUUUUUAUCUCUAAAUCCACUACCUCUAUGACUGUCAGUCAAAAUCUAACUCAUCAGAGUAUAACCCAUACUGCCCUAAAUCUAACUCUUCCUCUUCUAACAUUAAUAUUAAGUUAGAGGAGUUAGAGUUAGAGAUGCAGGUGUUAGCUUUAGAGUUAGAGCUGGUUGACUUAAAGCAGUUAUCUAUACAGGAGUAAGACUUACAUUUACAAGAUUUAGAAUUAGAGAAAGAGAGUUAAAGUUACCAUUAGAAGACUCAGAGUAGGAUCCAAUAGAGUUACACUAAGAGCAUUUAGAUUCAUUAAAAAUAAAGUUACAAUUAAAGGUAAGGUCUCACACUUAGAGGUAUCAGAGUUACAUUAGGGGGAUGUAAAGAUAGAGUUAGAGCAGUAAGAUUUAGAGGAAUUAAAGUUACAAAUACAAAAGUUUAAGUUGGACUAAGACUUAUACAAGUGAGAGCGAGAAAAAAAUGACUUCAACUUAAGAAUUAGAUUAAGAUUUGGAGAAGUGACUCUUAGGUUUAGAUUCAGAUGAGUUAGCCUUAGGGCAGGUAGAUUUUGAAAUAGAUUUAUAUGACUAAGAAAGAGAGUUAAAAUUAGACCAGUUAGUGUAAGAGUAAGAAUAAAAGUUAUAACAGUUAAAAUUAGACUUAGAAUUAGAUCAGAGUGAGAUUAAGAGUUACCAGGGUUAGUGUUGUCAUGGAAUAAGUUAGAGUGAAGAAUACCAGUAAGAUUUAGAGUAGAAAUAAGACAGAGUAGAAUGAGAUAGAGCUGCGAGGCAGAGUAAGAGUUGCAAAGGAUAGAGAAUUUAGAGUUUGAGUUAGAGUUAGAAUUAGAGAAGUUUGAGUUACAAUGAGUUUAGAUGUUGGAGCUAGAGACAAAUGACAUGGUUCAGAGUUAGAGCAAGAAUUCAUGGAGUAGGAUUUAGAUUGGGAUGAUUAAGCUAAGAGGGGUUAGAAUUUGACUUAGAGUUCUAUGAGUUAGGGUGAGAAUUACUACACUCAAGGGUACAGUUCGAAUAAGAGUUGCAGGAGGGAGGGAUAGACUCGAAGGAGUUAGAGUUAAGAAGAAGAGAAACAGAAAAUUUUGAUUUAGACUUAAAGGAAUUAGAGGAUUUAGAUUCUGAGUUAGAAGAGUUAUACUGAAUGGUAGAGCAGUUAGGGUUACAUUAUGGAACAGUAAAGUUAGAGUGAAAGAAGGAAGAAUUCGUGUUAGAGGAAAUAGAGGAGUCAGACUGAGAGCACUUACAGAAUAUACUCUCAGUUGUCGAAAGGUAACUGCUCUAAUGCCAACUCUAUCUCACAUGCUACAUCUAACUCCUGUAACUCCACUGUAAAUCCGCUAACUGGGCUAACUAAUUCUCACUCAUCUACUCUAACUAUAAACACCUGAGAUUUAACUCCUCUAAGUUGAACUCUACUUCCUCUAACAAUACCUUCCCUAAAGCUAAGAAUAAUCAUAACUCACACUACUUUAGCUCAGACCCUAACUCCAACUCUCUUACUUCUUUAAUUUUUAUCUCUAAAUCCUCUACCUCUACGACUGUCAGUCAAAAUCUAACUCAUCAGAGUGUAACCCAUACUGACCUAACUCUAAUUCUUCCUCUUCUAACAUUAAUACUAAGUUAGAGGAGUUAGAGUUAGAGUUGCAGGAGUUAGCUUUAGAGAUAGAGCUGGUUGACUUAAAGCAGUUAUCAAUAGAGGAGUAAGACUUAGAUUUACAAGAUUUACAAUUAGAGAAAGAAAUAGAGUUUGUUACCAUUAGAAGAGUAAGAGCUGGAUGCAGUAGAAUUACACUAAGAGCAUUUCGAUUUACUCGAAAUAAAGUUACAAUUAAAGGUAAGGUCUCACACUUAGAGGUAUCAGAGUUACAUUAGGGAAUGUAAACAUAGAGUUAGAGCAGUAAGAUUUAGAGGAAUUAAAGUUAGAAAUACAGAAGUUCAAGUUGGACUAAGACUUAUACAAGUGAGAUCUAGAGAAAAAUAACUUAGAUUUAAAAAUUAGAUUAAGAUUUGGAGAUGUGAGUGUUACAUUUAGAUUCAGAUGAGUUAGGCUUGGGGCAGGUAGAUUUUCAAAUAGAUUUAUAUGACUAAGGAAGAGAGUGGAAAUUGGAGCAGUUAGUGUUAGAGUAAGACUAAAAGUUAUAAGAGUUAAAAUAAGAAUUAGAUUUAAAGCACUUAGAGUGAGAUUAAGAUUUACAAGUAUUAGUUUUGUCAUGGAAUAAGUUGGAGUGAAGAAUAGGAGUGAGAGAGAAAUUAUUAGACUUAGAGUUGAAUGAGGAAGAGCUUCAAGGUAGAGUAAGAGUUGCAAAGGGUAGAGGAUUGAGAGUUUGAGGUGGAAUUAGAAUUAGAGAAGUUUGAGUUACAAUAAGUGUAGAUGUUGGAGCUAGAGAUAAAUAUCAUGGAUAAGAGUUAGAGCAAGCAUUAAUGGAGUAAGAUUUAGAUUGGGAUGAUUUAGACUAAGGAGGGUUAGAGUUUGACUUAGAGUUCUAUGAGUUAGGGUGAGAAUUACUACACUCAAGGGUACAGUUCGAAUAAGAGUUGCAGGAGGGAGGGAUAGACUCGAAGGAGUUAGAGUUAAGAAGAAGAGAAACAGAAAAUUUUGAUUUAGACUUAAAGGAAUUAGAGGAUUUAGAUUCUGAGUUAGAAGAGUUAUACUGAAUGGUAGAGCAGUUAGGGUUACAUUAUGGAACAGGAAAGUUAGAGUGAAAGAAGGAAGAAUUCGUGUUAGAGGAAAUAGAGGAGUCAGACUGAGAGCACUUACAGAAUAUACUCUCAGUUGUCGAAAGGUAACUGCUCUAAUGCCAACUCUAUCUCUCAUGCUACAUCUAACUCCUGUAACUCAACUGUAAAUCCACUAACUGGGCUAACUAAUUCUCACUCAUCUACUCUAACUAUAAACACCUGAGAUUUAACUCCUCUAAGUUGAACAAUACUUCCUCUAACAAUACCUUCUCUAAAGCUAAGAAAAAUCAUAACUCACACUACUUUACCUCAGACCCUAACUCCAAAUCUCUUACUUCUUUAAUUUUUAUCUCUACAUCAACUACCUCUAUGACUGUCAGUCAAAAUCUAACUCAUCAGAGUAUAACCCAUACCGCCCUAAGUCUAACUCUUCCUCUUCUAACAUUAAUAUUAAGUUAGAGGAGUUAGAGUUAGAGAUGCAGGAGUUAGCUUUAGAGUUAGAGCUGGUUGACUUAAAGCAGUUAUCAAUAGAGGAGUAAGACUUAGAUUUACAAGAUUUACAAUUAGAGAAAGAAAUAGAGUUAGUUACCAUUAGAAGAGUAAGAGCUGGAUGCAGUAGAAUUACACUAAGAGCAUUUUGAUUUACUCGAAAUAAAGUUACAAUUAAAGGUAAGGUCUCACACUUAGAGGUAUCAGAGUUACAUUAGGGGGAUGUAAAGAUAGAGUUAGAGCAGUAAGAUUUAGAGGAAUUAAAGUUACAAAUACAAAAGUUUAAGUUGGACUAAGACUUAUACAAGUGAGAGCGAGAAAAAAAUGACUUCAACUUAAGAAUUAGAUUAAGAUUUGGAGAAGUGACUCUUAGGUUUAGAUUCAGAUGAGUUAGCCUUAGGGCAGGUAGAUUUUGAAAUGGAUUUAUAUGACUAAGAAAGAGAGUUAAAAUUAGACCAGUUAGUGUUAGAGUAAGAAUAAAAGUUAUAACAGUUAAAAUUAGACUUAGAAUUAGAUCAGAGUGAGAUUAAGAGUUAUCAGGGUUAGUGUUGUCAUGGAAUAAGUUAGAGUGAAGAAUUCCAGUAAGAUUUAGAGUAGAAAUAAGACAGAGUAGAAUGAGAUAGAGCUGCGAGGCAGAGUAAGAGUUGCAAAGGAUAGAGAAUUUAGAGUUUGAGUUAGAGUUAGAAUUAGAGAAGUUUGAGUUACAAUGAGUUUAGAUGUUGGAGCUAGAGACAAAUGACAUGGUUCAGAGUUAGAGCAAGAAUUCAUGGAGUAGGAUGUAGAUUGGGAUGAUUAGACUAAGAGGGGUUGGAAUUUGACUUAGAGUUGUAUGUGUUAGGGUGAAAAUUACUACACUCAAGGUUACAGUUAGCAUAAGAGUUAAAGGAGGUAAUGAUAGAUUCCAAUGAGUUUGAGAGAAGAGGAAGAGAAACAGAAAAAUUUGAUUUAGCCUUCAAGGAAUUAGAGAAUUUAGAUUUUGAGUUAGAGGAGUUAUACUGAAAGGUAGAGCAGUUAGGGUUACAUUAUGGAACAGGAAAGUUAGAGUGAAAGAAGGAAGAAUUCGUGUUAGAGGAAAUAGAGGAGUCAGACUGAGAGCACUUACAGAAUAUACUCUCAGUUGUCGAAAGGUAACUGCUCUAAUGCCAACUCUAUCUCACAUGCUACAUCUAACUCCUGUAACUCAACUGUAAAUCCGCUAACUGGGCUAACUAAUUCUCACUCAUCUACUCUAACUAUAAACACCUGAGAUUUAACUCCUCUAAGUUGAACAAUACUUCCUCUAACAAUACCUUCUCUAAAGCUAAGAAGAAUCAUAACUCACACUACU